rnacentral:rRNA from 1 species
CGGCGUCACGAGUGGCAAUCACGUUUAUUGGGUCUAAAGCGUUCGUAGCCGGUUUAGUAAAUCUUUUGUGAAAUUGUCGGGCUUAACCUGACACCGUGCAGAAGACACUGCUAAACUAGAGACCGGGAGGGGUUAGAAGUAUUUCAGGGGGAGCGGUAAAAUGUUAUAAUCCCUGAAGGACUACCAAUGGCGAAGGCAUCUAACCAGAACGGAUCUGACGGUGAGGAACGAAGGCUAGGGGAGCGAACCGGAUUAGAUACCCGAGUAGUCC